rnacentral:misc_RNA from 1 species
CAGAAGCCGAAAGGUACUUAAAACAUCGCCGAACCUUAUCCAAGUUGCUUCGCGGCGCGGCUCCCCCUCACGGGGGACGCAGCCCCCGGCCUCAGGAGUAAGGGGCAGCCGCCGGAGGUACCGAAAACUCUGUAUUAUAGUGGUAUCUCUGAGUAUAAAACAAAUAAGUUA